rnacentral:rRNA from 1 species
CAUGCCGUAAACGUUGUAUACUAGGUGCAGGAGGUAUCGACCCCUUCUGUGCCGAAGCUAACGCAUUAAGUAUACCGCCUGGGGAGUACGCGCGCAAGCGUGAAACUCAAAGGAAUUGACGGGGGCCCGCACAAGCGGUGGAGCAUGUGGUUUAAUUCGAGGCAACGCGAAGAACCUUACCCAGACUUGACAUCCCAGGACCGCCUAUGAAAGUAGGUUUUCCCUUCGGGGACCUGGAGACAGGUGU